AAGCUGACUGAUGAGCAGGUUUCUUUUAAAGUGAGUUCAUUUAACCUCUUUUUGUAUUCUAUUCUAUAUCCGCCAUUUUUCUGAAAAAUUUUUGAGUAAUAUCACCAUUCAUCUAUUCGUUUUAUUAUUAUUAUUAUUGUUAAUAUUAACUCACCUCCAUUUCAAAUUUAUUUAAGCGAAAGUGUUCAUACUACUAACAUAGUCUAUUCAGUAGUAUUCAUUUUAAAAUGUAUAUUUUUCGAAUUGAGGUGCAUUAAAACAACAGGUGUUAUAGUAAAGAAAAAGAAGAAGUUUUGAAGGGAGGACGAAUAACUCAGUGGUGAUGUGAUUUAUAUCAGAUGUCUUUGUAUUACCGUCGUUGGAUAGACUUUAUCGAAAGCAUUUGCUAAGAAUAAUUUCAUUGAUCAGGAACGAAAGUCAGAGUUUCUAAGACUAUCGUUUCAGUUCUACCAUUAAACAAUGCCAACUGACGAUCUGUGUUGGUUCUUUAAUUGUCAAUGAACGCACUAUCCAGGAAAACUUCAAGUCUUUCAGCUCCGGAAGAAAUAUGGUUAAAUAGCUGAAAUUUACAGGAAUUGAAGGAAGGGUACCACCAGGAGUCGAGCCUGUGGUUUAAUGGAACCCAACAUGGGAAAAAUCGUUCGGCACGGACAUAUUCAGGAUUAACAGAUUGAAAGCUGUUUCUUGAUUUGGUUGAUGGUAGUGCGCGGCCGUUCUUAUCUGCUAUCUGUUGCUUCUUAGUGGAGUAGUGUGAUCGUUAACUGGAGAGUAUGGUACCAGCUUUUGUCUCUUAAACAGACAGACUGCACACUGAAGUCGUACGACAUUGAGCAACAACAAUUCUGUGAUGCCCUUAGACGCCCAAAGCUACACCUGCGCUACAAUGACGGUGCCAGGGUUAAGCCACCUGUUUUAUCACCGUCGUGACUGGGAACGCUACCUGCAAUUGUUCUCUGUGGAAGUCAUAAACAUCUACUGAUGACGUCACUGCCCCUUGUACACACUGCCCGUCUCUAUUACCGAUUGAAUACUAUUCAUAAACAUGAACAAUUGAGAAUGGUUGGCGUUAAUGUUUAAUAUAUCGCCAAAUUUGUCUUGAUUGAUGAGUAGACAGAACGAAAUCAAAG
rfam:Trichobilharzia regenti genome assembly, scaffold: TRE_contig0003919